rnacentral:rRNA from 1 species
CAGGGCGAGAGCCUGACCAGCCAGUAGCGUGAAGGAUGACUGCCCUAUGNCAANGUAAACUUCUNNUAUAAAGGAAUAAAGUCGGGUAUGGAUACCCGUUUGCAUGUACUUUAUGAAUAAGGAUCGGCUAACUCCGUGCCAGCAGCCGCGGUAAUACGGAGGAUCCGAGCGUUAUCCGGAUUUAUUGGGUUUAAAGGGAGCGUAGAUGGAUGUUUAAGUCAGUUGUGAAAGUUUGCGGCUCAACCGUAAAAUUGCAGUUGAUACUGGAUAUCUUGAGUGCAGUUGAGGCAGGCGGAAUUCGUGGUGUAGCGGUGAAAUGCUUAGAUAUCACGAAGAACUCCGAUUGCGAAGGCAGCCUGCUAAGCUGCAACUGACAUUGAGGCUCGAAAGUGUGGGUAUCAAACAGGAUUAGAUACCCUGGUAGUCCAAGGGCGAAUUC